rnacentral:rRNA from 1 species
UACGGAAGGGGCAAGCGUUGUUCGGAAUCAUUGGGCGUAAAGGGUGCGUAGGUGGCGGGGUAAGUCUGGUGUGAAAUCUCGGGGCUCAACCCCGAAACUGCACUGGAUACUGCCUUGCUUGAGUACUGGAGAGGAGAUUGGAAUUUACGGUGUAGCAGUGAAAUGCGUAGAUAUCGUAAGGAAGACCAGUGGCGAAGGCGAAUCUCUGGACAGUUACUGACACUGAGGCACGAAGGCCAGGGGAGCAAACGGG